rnacentral:rRNA from 1 species
UGGGGAAUUUUCCGCAAUGGGCGAAAGCCUGACGGAGCAAUAUCGCGUGAGGGAGGAAGGCUUUUGGGCUGUAAACCCCUUUCAGCGGGGAAGAUAAUGACGGUACCCGCAGAAGAAGCCCCGGCUAACUCCGUGCCAGCAGCCGCGGUAAUACGGAGGGGGCUAGCGUUGUUCGGAAUUACUGGGCGUAAAGCGCGCGUAGGCGGACUUUCAAGUCAGGGGUGAAAUCCCGAGGCUCAACCUCGGAACUGCCUUUGAUACUGAUCGUCUUGAGUCCGAGAGAGGUGAGUGGAAUUCCUAGUGUAGAGGUGAAAUUCGUAGAUAUUAGGAAGAACACCAGUGGCGAAGGCGGCUCACUGGCUCGGUACUGACGCUGAGGCGCGAAAGCGUGGGGAGCAAACAGGAUUAGAUACCCCCGUAGUCC